rnacentral:lncRNA from 1 species
UGCUUCCUAGGAAUUUUCUAUCCUUCUUUUGAAUGUACUAUGUUAUCCAAUUCAGUCCUUCAAAGUGAACUGAAGACAGAAGGUAGACUUUCAGAAUUUUGAAACUAUCCCUUAACACAAGGGGGCGCGACGGAGCCGUUGCUAUUGGCUUCCAAAAAUCAGUGACUAAGAACACAAGAAAACAAAACAGGCAGCUUCCUCAAAAAUAAUCCAGAUAAAGACAAAAUUCCCUAAAACUAAAAUCAUGUGGUCAAAGGCUCUGUGCUCAAUUAUAUCUUUGAGUGUCUGAGUACUUUUCAUUUCACAUCUAUGUACACACACACAAUUAUUUUGCUAAUGUCUUUAAUAAUACCUUUUAUGUUAUUGUGAACUUAUUAGUGAUUUUCAGUUAAGACAAGAUAGGUAAUUACCAUGUAGUUAUAACAAUAAACACAUAGGUACCAUUAACAUGGAGUUGACAAAUGCAAACUGUAUGUAUGUGUGUUGCACGCUAUGACUUUUCUAUAGGUGUCCAGCAUGAAAUGGUGAAAAUCAAGCUAAACAGGAUAUGCUUACCCAUAAACUGGAUGUGUUAUUUGGGGUUGCAAGAAUUGCUAACGUUUCUUCGCAAUCCAUUGCUGUUAAAAAUAAUUUAAUGACCCUCCAAAUUAGAUGUCUAUAAUUGUUAAUACUUCUUUUACUGAGGAUAUAGUCUGCUUGCUAAAUAAUUCUUUUGUAUGAAUUCCUUCUCCCUGUUUUCUUUUU